rnacentral:tRNA from 2 species
AAGGCUUUAGCUUAAUUAAAGUAUCUGUUUUGCAUGCAGAUGAUGUGGGAUAGUGGCCCGCAGGUCUUA